rnacentral:rRNA from 1 species
UACGUAGGGUGCAAGCGUUGUCCGGAAUUAUUGGGCGUAAAGAGCUCGUAGGCGGUCUGUCGCGUCUGCUGUGAAAACUCGGGGCUUAACCCCGGGCCUGCAGUGGGUACGGGCAGACUAGAGUGCGGUAGGGGAGACUGGAAUUCCUGGUGUAGCGGUGAAAUGCGCAGAUAUCAGGAGGAACACCGGUGGCGAAGGCGGGUCUCUGGGACGGUACUGACGCUGAGACGCGAAAGCGUGGGGAGCAAACAGG